GAUAGCCCGCCAUCACCAGAGAAAAGAGUAACCGUCAGGGUGCACGAUCGGAGGCUGGAGGCAACGUGGGAGAUAUGGCUUCAUCACUAUUCACCCUUCUCUCAGUUUACGGUUCAUGGAAAAGGAGAAAACUCAGACGGAAGGAGAAGCAGAGCAAACUCAAACCCAGAAGGAGAAAAAGAUUAGUAUCAAAAUCGGUGAUUGCAGAUUCACCUUUCUGAACAAAUCUCUCGCCACCGAUUCUAUUUGGGUUUAAUAAAUCAGGCUUAAUGUCUUCAAAGAAUUUGGAGGUACAUUACCUACUCGGGUAGUCUCUAUACGUCUUGGAGGAAUCAGGAAAUUUUGGUUACAGGUAAAUUAGAUGGGCGAUUUCUGAACAUUGUGAGAAAAUGAUGUCUCUAAUGUUAGUUCCAGUUCAUUACUCAGUCAAUCUGGGCAGACGUCUUCUUUGCGGUAACAUCAUAAUAGUGCAGAGCCAGUGAGACUGUAGUACGUGUAAGUUCUUUGGCUUUUGUUCCUGACUAUGAGAAGUAAAGCAAGAUAGUAAGUACUGCUGGAGCGACCACAGUUGCAGGUGAUAUUUUGUUUUAUUUGGCUUCUUAUUGGUUUCUGUAAGAUGAACUUGCUUAUACUAAUGGUUCUUAUGUUUGCUUUAUUUUGUUAGUAUAUUUCUUGCAGAAGUAUUAAGACAACACUGUGCACUAGGGCUAUUGAGGUAUGCAAUUCCUCAGUUAAAUGUUCUAACUUUUGUUAUAUUCUCAAUUUGGAUUUUAUUUCUGUUCAGUAGAUGCUCAGAAGCAUAGUCUUAGUAAAUCACAAGUGACCAAAAUUAAGUCAUUCUUUGAGCAGCUUCCUUUGUGAGGAGCCUCUCCUUUGCCUAGGUCUUGGAGUUUAUUUUUGUUGAUCUACUUGGCUGCUUGCUGAAUUGGUUGAACAUGAAAACACUGGUUUUUUUUUUUUUUUUUUUUUUAUUGUUGCUACAACUGCUGGAUUAACUACGUGAUACAAAAGAGAAUGCUGGGAGUUUGUCUACAUAAUUGAAGGGAAGUUUAAAUUUUGAGACACAACGGGUGCCUUUAUAUUCAACAGACAUGUUCUUUCCCUGCCUAUUUUUGAACCUAAUUUAGUGAAAUUUGCUUUGUACAGAAUAUUUUAUAUGUGGGGAGAUGGGCAUGCCAAGCAGUAGGAAUAUAAUAUAGUAAGACAUAGAAACACACCCGUCUACCAAACUCUCUCAAACCAUUUUGGAGUUUGAGCAACGACUGUUGACAAAUGGAUGGCUAAGAUGGAAUUGAUUGGAGCAUGUGGAUUUUAUUAAACAAAUAUGUUAUAGGAGUUUCUUUUUAAAAAGUAUGUUUCUAUUGUUAAAAUUUGUAUAUAUUGGUGUAUAUUUUUGUAUGAAGUUUAAUGUUUUU